rnacentral:rRNA from 1 species
GCCGGCAGCUAGCUCUCUGUAACUCUUACAUGGUUGUAGCAAAUACUGUAGGUCUGAAGCUUAGCAGGCCUGCGCCCGGUCAGUACCUGGAUGGGAGACCACAAUGGAAAGCUAGGUUGCUGCCAGGA